ensembl:lncRNA
GGUAAGGAGAAAUUCCAUUAAUGGACUUUGAAAUUCUAGUUUAUAGAAAGAAUGAGGUAAAAAAAAAAAAAAUUACUUGAACCAAAGCAUGUAAGGUGGAUUAUAUUAAUGUAACCAGUUAUUCCCUGUCCUCCUUUUAAAAGGAUUGUACAAUCUCUGUCCAUUAUUAGGGGACUUGCAAGGCUUCCUUAUGAGAGGAGUACGCUUUCUGACCCCAUUGACAGCAUGUUUUGUCAUGUGACUGGCUUUGGCCAAUAGAAUGCCAGCUGCUUUAAGAGCAGCAUGUGCCAGGGGCAUACAAGGGCUGGUUGUUACAUUUCCAGAAACUUGGCAAGCCACUCGUUAAACUGUUAGUAGCUUGAAAUAGGCCACAGUGGGAGUAUUUACAUCAUGGAAAUAGCCAACACUGCAAAUGAGGACUCCCCCUCCCUCAAAGCUGGGUCCAGGACACCGGGAGCAGGUCCCAAAAAAGUUGAUCUUUGAACCUGGAGCCUGGAAUCAAGGGCACUGGUGGAGCAGAGCCAAAGCUGCCUGCAGCAGACAGAAUUUGCUUGAGAAAUGAAUCUUUGUUACCGUGAAUCACUGAGUUGUCGGCGUGGUUACCUCAGCGCGAUCUAUCAAAAGCUGGCUGAUAACCAGGCCAGCGUCACUGAGUUUUAGUGAACACCAAUGAGCCCCAUCUUCAUCUGUGCAGGCCUUGAUUGGCGGAUUUCUUGUAAUAACUCGUGCCAUCACACCUUGAACCUGGAAGGAUGCAAACUGCACUCAGAGACUCCAGACGGGGAAUCCAGGUCUUGGAAGGUUAAUGGAAAGAGUUAGACUUCUUAUCAUCCCUCCAGAUAAUGGAUACUAGAAUGAAACUCACCAUGGCACCAGAAUUAUUGAUUGAAGCAUCUCUCCACCAGACAGUGGGCCUCCAGAGGGCAGGGACUAUGCGGUGCUCCCACUGGCAUCCUCAGCAGGAAGCACGUGCCUAACCCUGAGCAGGUGCACAAGGAGCCUUUGAAUGAAGGAGUGGAUGGAUAUCGGCAGAAUCAUCACAUUCACUGGCACUUUUCUGAUGCAGACAUGGAGACUUGGGUGAGCCGGGGCUAAGAAACGUAAAGUUGGGCUCAUUUCAUUUAAUGCAGCACCCCCUGAGUGCCUACCCUGUGCCAAGGAGGUGAGUGGGGUGGGCUGCUCUCCCAAUGCAUCCUGCAUCUCCUGUGGAUGCAGAAUCUCCCUCUGCUCAAGCAGGGCACAGCGAACCACCCGACACCGAAUGACCUCACAGGGUUCCCUCCAGGCCCAGAUGGCAGUGCACUAUGCCCCAAGGGACUGUUCCCUCCAGUCUCCAUCGCUAAGGCUGCCUAGCCCUGCCUGAGCUCACAUGCCUGAGGAUUGUUUUAUAAAAUUACUUUUUAUUUAGGUGUAGACCCUGCCAUAUCCACAUUCUACCUAAAUGUACACCCAGGAUGGGCUGCACGCUUUCUUAGUGCCUUAUUUCUUCUCCUUUGUGUUUACCUCUUCCCUUCUCCUCUCACAUCAGCUGCCACCCCCUCCACCCAUCGUGUGUCUCCUUCCUCCACAUACAUCUACAAUCUUUACGUAUCCUGUAAGAUCUGUAUUAGUUAAAUAAUAGUAAGAUGACAUAUACAUGCUUUUCUGCAUCUUGCUCUUCUCCCUGAACAGUUCCUCCAGAAAUCCCUCCAGGUCAUGUGGCAUAGCUCCAGUCCCUCCUUGUCAUGGCCGCAUACUAUUCCCGAUGUGAACACACACUAUUUACCCAGCCACUCUCCUGCUUAUAGGUGCUCCUGUCUCCAGUUUUUUGCCAUUGUAAAUAACACUGUAACAAACAUCCUACUACACGUUACUUUACGUAUUGGUACUUUUACUUCUACAGAAUAGAUUUCCUGGAGUGGGAUCCCUCAUUAUACCUAUUUUUAAUUCAUAGAAAUUGCCAGAUUGCUUUCCUAAAAGCCUUCACAUGUCCACUAGUAAUGCACUAGUGGACAUCUUUUCUCUGCCUCCCUUCUGGCUUUGGCUGGCAGCCCUCUUUAUUUUUGUUAGUG